ACGUAGGGUGCAAGCGUUGUCCGGAAUUAUUGGGAGUAAAGAGCUCGUAGGUGGUUUGUUACGUCGGUUGUGAAAUUCAGGGGCUCAACCCCUGACUUGCAGCCGAUACGGGCAAGCUAGAGUUUGGUAGGGGAGACUGGAAUUCCUGGUGUAGCGGUGGAAUGCGCAGAUAUCAGGAGGAACACCAAUGGCGAAGGCAGGUCUCUGGGCCAAUACUGACACUGAGGAGCGAAAGUCUGGGGAGCGAACAGGAUUAGAUACCCUGGUAGUCCAGACCGUAAACGGUGGGCACUAGUUGUGGGAACCUUCCACGGUUUCUGCGACGCAGCUAACGCAUUAAGUGCCCCGCCUGGGGAGUACGAUCGCAAGAUUA
rnacentral:rRNA from 1 species